rnacentral:misc_RNA from 1 species
UGGUUCUGGCAUCGAUGAAGAACGCAGCGAAAUGCGAUAAGUAAUGUGAAUUGCAGAAUUCAGUGAAUCAUCGAAUCUUUGAACGCACAUUGCGCCCUCUGGUACUCCGGGGGGCAUGCCUGUUCGAGCGUCAUUACAAACCUUCAAGCCCUGCUUGGUAUUGGGUGACACCUCUGGUGCACCUUAAAAUUAGUGGCGGUGCCAUUCAGCUUCAAGCGUAGUAAUCUUCUCGCUCUGGAGUCCUGGAUUUCUUCCUGCCAGAAACCCCAUUUUUCAUUAUAGGUUGACCUCGGAUCAGGUAGGGAUACCCGCUGA